rnacentral:rRNA from 1 species
UAGGGAAUAUUGGUAAUGGGCGCAAGCCCGAACCAGCAACGCCGCGUGCGCGAUGAAGGCCUUCGGGUUGUAAAGCGCUUUUUAAGGGGAUGAGGAAGGACAGUACUCUUAGAAUAAGCCUCGGCUAACUACGUGCCAGCAGCCGCGGUAAAACGUAGGAGGCGAGCGUUAUCCGGAUUUACUGGGCGUAAAGCGUGUGUAGGCGGUUCGAUAAGUUGGAUGUGAAAGCUCCCGGCUCAACUGGGAGAGGUCGUUCAAAACUAUCAGACUUGAGAGUGGUAGAGGGAGGUGGAAUUCCGCGUGUAGUGGUGAAAUGCGUAGAUAUGCGGAGGAACACCAGUGGCGAAAGCGGCCUCCUGGCCCAUUUCUGACGCUCAGACACAAAAGCUAAGGUAGCAAACGG